rnacentral:misc_RNA from 1 species
ACCGUAGCCCGACGUCAACCAACCAGUCUGAUUGAGCUAGCUAUUACCUUGUGUUGUUAAAUAGAUGCCCAAGCAUAAGUCUUUGAAAACACCAAGCUACAAGCUGUUAACUUAAGUGUUAACCUUUAUAGAGCACUUUCUCUGCACUGCGACUCUUUUUUGAACAUCGAAGAUGAGCCACUCCACAUGGAGCACGGGUUUAUGUGGAUGCUGUGAAGACCCCUGUGUUUGUCUAAUAACUUGGUGUUUUCCAUGUGUUACCUUCGGCCAGAAUGCAGAAGUCAUUGAUAAAAAAGCCACAUCUUGUGCUUGUGCGGGGUUGAUUUUCUGUGCCCUUUACUUCUUGGGGGUUCCAUGUUUGUAUUCCUUUACAUAUCGAAGCAAGUUAAGAGGCAAUUAUUCAUUGCCAGGAGAAGCUUGCGGAGAUUGUUGUAUUCAUUGUUGGUGUCUCCAUUGUGCUAUUUGUCAAGAGUAUCGAGAGCUUAAGAAUCGUGGACUUGACCCUUCCAAAGGUGUAGCCAUGGCACCUCCGGCUGUUGCACAAGGUAUGCCUCGUUAGGGUUCAUGAGGCUCACGAUAUUCUUAAAUAAUAAUUGUUACUAUAAAGUCGUUGCAAUGUAAUAAUGUAUUGUGGAUUGUUAAUCUUUCUUGUAUUUUAGAAGAGAUCAUUACUAUUUGAGCUUCUAGUGUAGUAAUAAGGUCUUGGAUUGUUCGUGUUACUGUAGAGUCAUUGCAGUGCAAUAAUGUGCCGUGGACUGUUUAAUGACCCUUCAAUUACAAGAUAGAAGAGGAUUGUGAUUAUUUUA